UUUCUGUAGGUGAACCUGCGGAAGGAUCAUUAUUGUAUAACCGAGGUGCGAGGGCUGUCGCUGACCCGAAAGGUCGUGCACGCCCGAGUGCCCUCACACACAUCCAUCUCACCCCUAAGUGCACCACCGCGUGGGUCCCCCUUUGGCUUGUUCGGAGGGGGGCUUACGUUUUCACACAAACUUUGUAUGCAGUGUAGAAUGUAUUUUUUGUUUUUGCGAUCACGCAAUCAAUACAACUUUCAACAACGGAUCUCUUGGCUCUC
rnacentral:misc_RNA from 1 species